UAGGGAAUCUUCCGCAAUGGGCGAAAGCCUGACGGAGCAACGCCGCGUGAGUGAUGAAGGUCUUCGGAUCGUAAAACUCUGUAUUAGGGAAGAAUAAAUGUGUAAGUAACUAUGCACGUCUUGACGGUACCUAAUCAGAAAGCCACGGCUAACUACGUGCCAGCAGCCGCGGUAAUACGUAGGUGGCAAGCGUUAUCCGGAAUUAUUGGGCGUAAAGCGCGCGUAGGCGGUUUUUUAAGUCUGUUGUGAAAGCCCACGGCUCAACCGUGGAGGGUCUUUGGCAACUGGAAAACUUGAGUGCAGAAGAGGAAAGGGGAAUUCCAUGUGUAGCGGUGAAAUGCGCAGAGAUAUGGAGGAACACCAGUGGCGAAGGCGACUUUCUGGUCUGUAAUUGACGCUGAUGUGCGAAAGCGUGGGGAUCAAACAGG
rnacentral:rRNA from 1 species